CAUCAGGAGUACAGACUUCACAGUUCUGUCAUGUUGUUACUAACCUCAUAAACUUGGCAAUAGAUAAAUAAAUUCCUUCUCAACCCGCCCCACCCCCAAAAGCACAGGAGGCGCCCCGUUGUGGGGCGGCUGGGAGGCGACUUGCUCCUCCAUCCCUGACUUGGAUGCACACAGCUGAGGGACCCUUCCUGUUCCUCAUGCCGCUCCCUCCUGUUCGCUUCUCUCUUCUGCACAUCGUGCACAGCCCUGGCAGCUUCCAGUGGGAAAGGGAACUGGACUGACUGGAAGCUGAAGGUGUAUGGGUGUAUAUCUAGUAACUGGGGAUGCCCAGGUCCCAGCGGCUUAGGACGAUGCAUCUGGUAACAACAUGCCCAAGAUCUUACCACCCCCAUGUGUACCCUGUGCCUCCCGGACUCUCACUUUGAGAUAAGGGUGCUUUUGCUCUAUUCAAGUUCAACUCAUGUGGGUCUUCUUUCCACAGGAGUUUCCCUUCAUGGACCAGUUGCUAAGCUGAGGGCUGGCACAGACUCUUGGGCAUGGUGGGCAUGUUGCCUGCCUCCCCACCUUGAGCUUUCUGGCUAGCGCAGCAUCAGCCUCUACAAGAAGCAAUAAGGGGGUCUUGGAGCCCUAGCUCUACCCUUGUGUUGACAGUGAGCACUCCAACAUACAUGCGAUCUCAAAGCAUGCUGAUGGUUCUGACGCCAACGGACCUGCAGAGAACAGAAGACAGAGAAAAUGGUCCCUCUGCUGCUCCUCAUCUGGCUGCCGUCUGUUCUGUUCCAAUACUAGAGGGUCCAGAUAGGGUGGUCAGCCCAGAUGAGGAACCCCAUGAAGCUAGGCCAGGGCUCAAAGCACAGGAUCAAAGCCAGUUACAAGCGGGGGUAGAUAGGAACGCUUGGAUCCUGUCAAAUCUGGUGGUCUUCUCGGCAUGCAUCCUUUAAGGACAUGCCCUUUGGUGGGUGGGCUGGGCAUAGCCUGGUAAGUUUUCCAGCCAGAGUUCCUGGUGACAGCUGUGUGGAGGGUCAGAGCUGGGUAUCCCAGGCUGCUCUGGGACUUUGAGUAAGAACUGAGAUCCUUGGGGUGGCCUCCACGUAGUGUGGUGGGGCUCUUCCUCUGCGUGUUCUUGAAGGCCCCUUCGGCUUCAGAAGCUGGUGGCUCCUGUCUUCCCAUGGAGACUAGUCCCAGGCACACAUCUGGACAAUGACUAAACAGCAUGAUAAAGGUGUUUAAAAAAGGUAGGUGAGGCUGUGCUCAGCCUAGGACCACCUAGGCCUCUGUAUCCGUCACUGACCCAGCAUCAAUCAGAGAAGGAGUGAGCUAGGAUUCAGAGGUGACUAACGGGUCCAGGCCGAGAGAUGCUGGAAGCCACGGAGGAUACUGUGAGUCCGGCAUCCGACCACAUCUCAGCAAGCUUGGGCUAAAGAUGCAGUGGCCAGACCGUGGCCUCACGAUGGAAGAACAGAGCAGACUGUAAAAACAUCAGUUAGAUCGCAUGUAGGGAUCACAAAACACAAGGUGGAGACUAGCACAGGAACAUGUCGUCUGUGCUCUGGGAUGACCGGUUAGCUCGGGCUUGCCCAGCUUUGUGAUCCUAGCCCAGAAGUGGGGUGCUUUUGGGUGGCGAUCAGUGUUAAACCCAGUGGUUCUACAUUUACUCUGAGGCAAACCUUUAUUGGAGACCGGAGGCCUGGGUUUUGAUUGGCAGUGGCUUCCGGAAGUGGUUGGCGUUGUAAGGGUAUCGGGUAAGCUGACUUAAGAACAGGUAGAGACAGAGACUGAACACGAGAAUGUAGCGCCCUGGAAAGGUGACUUGGAAAUGAAUCUGUGUUGGAGGUGACAAAAAAGCCUUAAGCUAUCAGGAAGCCUCAGUCUCAGGGCAGUGACAUCUGGGCAGGGACCUUAGUGAAGUGGUGUCUGGGAGGGUGUUUUAGCCUCCGACUUCCUCCCUCCCUUAAAUCUGUGACCUCGUUCUCUCGAUUAGGCUUCCCCUCUGGCUCUGCAGUUUCCAGGGCAGGUGACCUUCCUUAAAAGGUCAGGGAUUUAUCUCCCUCUGAGCCUUGCUCGUCUGCAAAACCUGCACUAUGACAGAAGAGACCCUGGGAUGCCAAGUAGUUUCGUGAGCUGAAGGAAGUUGAGCUUUGCCAGCCAUGAAGCAUGGGCAGCUGUGUGCACUGGGCAGUGCAGAGGACAGUGUGAGCAUUACGAACGUCCAGCAUCUGUGUUUUCUUCCAGGAGUGGUUCUGGAUGUUUGCCCGCUACGUCCCCUGCAUCUGACGAUGGCAUGUGGUGUCGUGGGGCGGGAGACUCGGGUCUGAACACUUUGAGGAUGAAGUUCCCGGUACAGGAGAGGCUCAGGGUGUCGGGUUGGCUUGAAAUAGGUGAGAAAUGAGCGUGGAAGACUGAUACCAUCUGGGGAGGGCCAGAGAAUGGAAACGGGAACCAGUAGAUCCCAGAUUCUAAGUCUGAGACCCUGGAUCUAGCUUUUCCUGAAGCCAGAAUGGUCCUUAAAGUUCAUUUGUGAGAGUUAAAAUUCUCUUCCUUUGGCCAGCGUUAGUUAGAUUUAGCUUUAUGUCACUCAGAACCAAGAGUUCAGACUGAUGUAUUAGUUUUCUCCAGUUUACUGUCUUUUGUAGUGUGAUGGCUAACCUUGGCUGUCAGCUUGACCACACCUGGAAGGAGCUAAAACCCAAGCAGUGGUGAACCUGUGAGGGUUCUUAUCCAUCUAUUUUUAUUCUUAUUUUUAAAAUUGGAUGAUUUGAAGUGAAAAGACCUACCCUAAAUCUGGGUCAUUUGAGGUUUUAGAAGAACCACUGAAGUCUGGGCCACGCCUUUUUGUGGCAGCCCACAUAAAAGGACAUGGGGGAAGGAAGCUUUUGUUUUUUGCCUGCUUACCCCCACUCUGGCUGACGAGUUCCUCUACCCUGCUGCGGAGGCAUUCCUUCGCUGGUGCUAACGUCUUCAGGAUUCUGCUGUAGACCGAGGAGCAGCUGAGACAUCCAGCCUCACAGACUGAACGCCCACUGGAUUCUCCCAUCAGGAGACAGUCAUUGUCGGACUCGCCAGACUGCCGCAGCCUGUGACUUCAAUAACCCCCUUUAAUAGAUACAGAUUCAGUCUGUGAGUUCUGCUUCUUUGGAGAACCCUGACUAAGAAAGGAGAAUGUUAAUUUGUCCGGGCCCGAGGGCACUCUAACUGUGCCCGCUGUGGAACUAUCACAACCUUUGUGGGUCUUUGGGAGCCUUUGGGAACCUUCCCCUACACAAAGAUAUUACAAAUGACAUGUUGCUACUCUGCUGGUAGGAAGUGAAAUAUUAUCCAGGACAGACUGCCGUUUUUCCUUCACAUUUUGAAACCAAUCAGAACUCUUUCACGGGCCACCUGGGUGCUGUGUUUGGAUCCCGUGGCCUUUGCCAACCAAGGGUUGAGCCUGCCUUUACCCCCUGGAGAUCCUUCCUCCUGCAUGAAGUUAGAGAAGACAACCCCUAAGCGCUGUUUCGGCCCCUCUCUCCUCUCCCUGGCUUUUCCUAAAGAGUUGCAGGCCAAGGACCCCAGAACUCUGCCAGUACAGCCAGAGCACGAGCAGCGCAGACCAGGAGGGCUUUGCAGACAAGCCGAGAGAAGCGUACAGCCUAGGUAGGAAUGCAUAUCCCUAGGCCCUACCCUAGAUGGCAGGCAUCGGAGAUGAGAGGGCAGUCCUGUCUGAGCUCCUGUGUGCUCUCUGGGCUUCUACCCAAGGUCGCGAGCUUUUGGAGAAAGCUUCUCUAGGAAGGUCUCGGUGCCCUGCACCACCAGGCAUCUUGGGCUGGCCAGCUCCUACCCACGACCCUGAAAAUCGAAGGAACUCUGUUCCAGUGGCACCUUUAGGACCCUUAGCAAUACCAAGCCGUGUAGGUUUUGUGAGCAGUUUUGCUUUUUGCUUUUGCGUUUCUCACGGAGGUGGAAGCAAAGGUUGGUGGGUUUAAGACUCUGCAAUAGCCGAGCAAGCCAAGCAAGGUGAGGUCCUCAAGGUUCAGAGGCACCACGAUUUUCCUUAGCAUGGAGCUGCACGGAGCCCCAGUGGCCACUAGAUGGCGCUGCUGCACUUUCCUUCGGACGUUGCACAUCGACUCUGAGACCCGGUUUAAAAAAAUAACGUGCUGCUGUGAAUUGAGGCCUAUUUCACUAAGAUAGCCAGGAAAUGAUAUGCAGCCACGAGGCUUUGACCAGGGGAAACUGUGGGGUUGUAGCAGGAAAAGUCAUGUAGAAUGUUACGAAUCUCCCUUCUGCACUGCAGACUCCCCGAACUCCACUCCUCUCCGCUCCACUCCACCCUGGGCCUCUAGGGGUGGCAGAGUUCUUUCUACACUAGCUGAAGUCACUAGCUUCAGUUGGGUGGAGGAGCGCUCAUCAAGGUGGGGACAGGCUAUGUUCUUCUAAAGGCAACUUUCUGAUCUGCUCGGAUGCCGACUUCUUUGUGUGUCAGCGCAUUAAUCCAGCCGCGACGGAGUUGAUACUGGCAAGAGACCCCCUGCAAAGCCUCAAGAGAGAAAGAGCCCCAUUUGGGUUCCAGAAACCUGGGUCUGGGCACGUGAGGGCGUGGGGGAAGCAGGGUGGCAGGGUCCGGCUGGAACGAAGUGGGCUUAGGCUAGUUUAGUGUCAGAGCGCAGUGUGGCCACAGGGACUGCAGGAGACCUCGGUGACAAACCCACUUCCCCAGGUGGCAGUGACCUUAGAAGCCGUGGUAGUGAUCAGCAUAAAGGUAGCCACCCAAACUGCCUCAUUUCAUCCAACCUCCCAGCGGCUAAGAGGGCUGGGGUCACAGUGUCACAGAUGGGAAAUAGAGGCACGGGGCGGAGGAGGAAGGGGAACUCAGGCCUGAAACACAUCGAGGCAGGUUGGGGAUAGAAUUUCAAACCAGGCCUGAUUCCAGGGCCUCUCCCUGGAGCUCACUGCCCUCAAGGAUCUGGUAGUACAGGUUUCCGGGAGUCCUGGUGUCUCUAUGGGGGGAGGGGGCUUCUCUAGCUGGGGGCUUUCCUGAGAUUCACCUCUGUUCACUCCAUCAGGGCCACAAAGGGGGCCACAAGGCCCCAGGACAUGCUGUGCGUCUGGAAGCUCUACUGAAUGCCCCAUGGGCUCUGCAGGCCCUGGGGGAUGCCUGGGGGAAGCUGUACCAGUUGACAGAAGUACAACAUCGAUAUGAAAAGAAGGAGUUCUGCCCCCCACCCCCAUGCCUAGUCCCCCAGCUCCCUGAGAGACCGGGCUGGCAGAGGAAUCCUGAGAAUAAGGUUCCACCUCUCAGAGCACGCCCACCUUGUUGCAGGGUGGCAAGGACAGCUCCCCAUGGUGCAGGGGCAUCUAGACCCUCAGGAGGACGUGAGAAGUUUGGCAGAAGUGGUGAUGAGCUUCCCCUGGAUUCCAGGAUGGUCCCCACCCCUACCUGAUCUCACCGUGAUGCAAGAUAAACCUCUCCCGCCCCCCACUCUCCCCUACUCCCUCCAUGGAAAGUUCUCUGUCUCUGUCCAAAGACUGGAUUUGAAACAAACCUAAAAGCUUUGGAGUUAGUUACUUUAAAACUUGCAAGAGCUGAGAAGAUUCGGAUGCUACAUGAAGCUUCCACACACCCUUCACCCAGAUCGCAGAGACCCUUCCGAUCACAGAGACCCCGCCCGCCUCUGCCUCUGAAAUGCUGGGAUUAACGGUGUGUGCUGCACACUCAGCUGUGGGGUGUGUUUCUUUCACGGUCAUGUGUCACGGGGCGGGGCUCCUCAUCAGUUUCCACGAAUACAACCGGGUCAUUUCACUGUCUUGUUUUAAUUUGCCUACUUGGUCUAACAAUGCGUGCCCUUUAGAGCCCCCCCCCAACCCCCCCAGGGCAGGAGAGCUGCCACAUCUUGCUCCUUUAGUCUGGAAUGACCAAGGUGGGGAAGCAUGCCUUUGUCCCUUGUCGUCACACUGAUGUGUUUGCACAUAGGGUACUUCUGCCCGUCGCCCCUCUAAAAAUAGAACAAUCUUUAUUUUGAAAAAAAUGUUAAAAGGGGAGGGGCUGGUGAGAUGACUUGGCGGGGUAAAAGACACUUGAGGGCUGA